AUUGAACGCUGGCGGAAUGCUUUACACAUGCAAGUCGAACGGCAGCACGGGGCAACCUGGUGGCGAGUGGCGAACGGGUGAGUAAUACAUCGGAACGUGCCCAAUCGUGGGGGAUAACGUAGCGAAAGUUACGCUAAUACCGCAUACGAUCUACGGAUGAAAGCGGGGGAUCGCAAGACCUCGCGCGAAUGGAGCGGCCGAUGUCAGAUUAGGUAGUUGGUGGGGUAAAGGCUCACCAAGCCAACGAUCUGUAGCUGGUCUGAGAGGACGACCAGCCACACUGGAACUGAGACACGGUCCAGACUCCUACGGGAGGCAGCAGUGGGGAAUUUUGGACAAUGGGCGCAAGCCUGAUCCAGCCAUUCCGCGUGCAGGAUGAAGGCCUUCGGUUGUAACUGCUUUGUUACGGAACGAAACGGCGAGCUCUAAUACAGUUUGUCUAAUGACGGUACCGUAAGAAUAAGCACCGGCUAACUACGUGCCAGCAGCCGCGGU
rnacentral:rRNA from 1 species